rnacentral:lncRNA from 1 species
GCUUGAAGCCAGGAGGCAGAGGUUGCAGUGAGCUGAGACUGCACCACUGUACUCCAGCUUGGGUGAGAGAGUGAGACUCUAUCAGAAAAAAAAAAAGAAGAAGGAAUGAAAAUCGGCUAUCAAUCAUUUCUGAUUGAGAAGAAGCUGUCAUUGGGAAUAAAGAAUUCAGGAAUUAUUUCUGCACUUCUGUUUUUGAAACAGCCUGGAUGCAGUUGCUAUUUAUACCAAGGCAGAAACCCUGAAGAUGAGUUGAAUGGGAGGUGAUGCUGGGGGUGAAUGUGCUGAGUGGAGGCUCCUGCUAGAUGUAGAGCUGAGAUGCCUACAGUUUCUAUUUGCCUCCAACAAGACAGAAGGCUCAAGCCUGGGUUCCGUUAGCGGAGACUAAGUACCAGGUUCCGCCAACCCAGGAACAGAGCAGGCCCUGCAGGCACAGCGAGAGGACAGACUCCCGGGAGAGAACGCAGGAGGAAAAAGGGAGAAAGUAACACUUCCCACUGAAACUACCAGAAACAUCCAGAAAAUGAAGCAGAAAAAUGCAGCCCAGGGAUCAGAAAAGGCCUCAGUCCGGUCAAUUAAACCUUGGAGUGACCAGGAAAUCCAGAGUUUCCUGCAAGAAUGGGAAUUUCUUGAACGUGAAGUGUACAGGGUGAAGAAGAAGUAUCACGUAGUAUCAAAAACAAUUGCCCAGCGUCUCAAGCAGAGAGGUAUGAAGAAGAGCUGGCAGGAAUGUCUCCAGAUGCUAAUAAGCUUGCAGGACUUAUACUUCACUAUUCAGGAGGCCAACCAGAGACCAAGGUGCCUACCCUUGCCGUGUCCUUAUGGCGAGGCCCUGCACAGGAUUCUGGGAUACAGAUGGAAAAUCAGCGUCUUCUCAGGUCCUCCCUGUGCAGAUGCGGUUGACCUUGCACCUCCCGAGCACCAGCCCCAGGCCUGUGGCGUUCCCAUAGCCGUUCAGGAGCCGACGUGGGCCCCGACACCUGUGAUAUAUGUGGAAAAUCCUCCAGUACCCGAAUGGGAGCCCUGGAACACGAAUGGUCAUGCUCCAUAUAUGUAUCCUGCUUUUCCCCUAGCAUCCGCCCCAGGCCCCCUACCACAGUGGGCCAUCUCUACUGACUAAUCCAGAUCUUGAAGACAAUUAGAAUCUGGAUCCUGAUUCUUCAGAAAGACUGAAAAGUAGCACAAUCUGUGUGUGUUAGCGCAUGACUCCUUCCUCUCCUCACCUGGUGCAAUGAGAAUAAAUGUGAAAUAAAUGAACGACCGUGACCU